rnacentral:rRNA from 1 species
GAUGAACGCUCGCUACAGGCUUAACACAUGCAAGUCGAGGGGAAACGACAUUGAAGCUUGCUUCGAUGGUCGUCGACCGGCGCACGGGUGAGUAACGCGUAUCCAACCUGCCUCUGACCAAGGGAUAACCCGUCGAAAGUCGGCCUAAUACCUUAUGCAGUCGUCGGAAGUCAUCUGAUGACGACGAAAGAUUUCAUCGGUGAGAGAUGGGGAUGCGUCUGAUUAGCUUGUUGGCGGGGUAACGGCCCACCAAGGCAACGAUCAGUAGGGGUUCUGAGAGGAAGGUCCCCCACAUUGGAACUGAGACACGGUCCAAACUCCUACGGGAGGCAGCAGUGAGGAAUAUUGGUCAAUGGGCGAGAGCCUGAACCAGCCAAGUAGCGUGCAGGAUGACGGCCCUAUGGGUGGUAAACUGCUUUUAUGCGGGGAUAAAGUGAGGGACGUGUCCUUCAUUGCAGGUACCGCAUGAAUAAGGACCGGCUAAUUCCGUG